CUCCCAGGAUAGCUCCUGGAAGCUGCAGCGGUGACAACAAAACCAACCUUAGUCCCGAGCCGGGAUCAGCCCCGUUUGCAGAGAACCGGUAACGGCUGCGCGAGCCCAAGAGGCAGCGAAGUCACCUUUCUCCAAGAGGCUGUAAAUCCAUCGCAGGCAGAUCAUUAUCAGAAAGCCUGAGGAACCGGAAGACGAGGGAGAAUGAAGAUGAGGACAGAAUGCUUAGAUCUAAGUGGCCAAAGGGACCGAGCAGGGACAGGAGGGGAAGGAACCCGGCAAAAUCUGAGCAGAGCGCGCCGCAGUGACGAGCGGCCGCGUGUAUUUCCUCCGCAACAGCCAAACCGAAUUCCAAGCGCCUCAGCAUCGAGGGACGAACGACUGUAAGCAUCCCAAGAAGGCAGAAAGAGAAACGGGAAUUAGCGGGGG